rnacentral:misc_RNA from 1 species
AACGCACCUUGCGCCCUGUGGCAUUCCGCAGGGCAUGCCUGUUUGAGUGUCACGCCCCCCUCUCAACCCCGGCCCUGUCUUUGCGACGGGCGCCUUGCGGGCUUGGAUCGUGGCCGGCCGCCCUGACCCCUGCAAAGGGGAGAGGGCGCCAGCCGAAAUGCAGACCCGCCUCACCGCAGGCGCGCGGUUCGACCGGAACGUUGUACGCACCCUCGUUCUCGGGACGCGCGCCGACUGCACCUCGAGGCUGCGAACGCGUAGCACCUUGUGACUUUGACCUCAAAUCAGGCAGGACGACCCGCUGAACUUAA